ACGAGAUGCAGCUGUGUCUGUUUGCUGUGUUGCUAUUUGCCGUGCAGGGAGAGAACAGUGUACCAGCGGGCCUCAACUCUCCAAUAUCAUGUUGUAUGAGGACAACAGACCAAAUCAUUCGCAUCUCUGAGAUUGUUCGAUAUGAACUUCAGGAAGCACCACCGUGUCCCGUCAGAGCAGUAAGGUUCUUCACCCGGAGUAACGACACAGUGUGCUCGGAUCCAAGGAGCCUGUGGGCCAGAAAGGCAAUGAUGAUGGUGGGCAGAAGAAUCAGCACCACUGGGGUACCAGAGGUCAUAAAGAAGAGAACCACCUCUCUACCUGGGGCCACCACCCUGCCUUGGUCUACAGUGACAUGGGUCUCUCCAGGCUUAACGACUACGAACUGGAUGGAGGAAUUUAUGACA